GGGGACUAUGAAAGCUGUUUGGCGUACACGGAGGAGCUGAAGGAGCGGUGUGUGGAGCAGUUCAAACAGGGGGCGGUGUGUAUGGAACAGCUGGCAGCGGUGGAUGGGUUGUGUGAGUUGGUUAGGAAGGCAGUUGGGGCUGGGGAACCUGUUCGGAGAUACCAUGUGAACCUGUCUGUUUUCACUUCCAUUCCUGAUGCGUGGGGCAUUGAACAGGUGUUUCCGAUCAUCCCCAUUCAUCGGUUGGACGAGAAGCCUUCCGUUAGGGGUAUUCUCUCGGAUUUGACUUGCGACAGCGAUGGCAAGAUUGACAAAUUCAUCAACGGGGAGUCCAGCCUGCCGCUGCAU
rnacentral:lncRNA from 1 species